CCAUGAGUACAGUGGCGUACGGGUGAGUAACACGUGGGUAAUCUACCUCUUAGUGAGGAAUAACCCUGGGAAACCGGGGCUAAUACCGCAUAAACCUGAGAAGGGAAAGUCGAAAGACGCUGAGAGAGGAGCCCGCGGCCGAUUAGCUAGUUGGUGAGGUAAGAGCUCACCAAGGCAUAGAUCGGUAGCCGGCCUGAGAGGGCACACGGCCACACUGGCACUGAAACACGGGCCAG
rnacentral:rRNA from 1 species